CCAGACUCCUACGGGAGGCAGCAGUGGGGAAUAUUGCGCAAUGGGCGAAAGCCUGACGCAGCGACGCCGCGUGAGGGAAGACGGCCUUCGGGUUGUAAACCUCUGUCGCAGGGGACGAAGGAGAUGACGGUACCCUGUGAGGAAGCCACGGCUAACUACGUGCCAGCAGCCGCGGUAAUACGUAGGUGGCGAGCGUUGUCCGGAAUUACUGGGUGUAAAGGGAGCGUAGGCGGGAUAUUAAGUUGAAUGUAUAAACUACCGGCUUAACCGAUAGAAGCGUUCAAAACUGAUAUUCUUGAGUGAAGUAGAGGCAGGCGGAAUUCCUAGUGUAGCGGUGAAAUGCGUAGAUAUUAGGAGGAACACCAGUGGCGAAGGCGGUCUGCUGGACAGCAACUGACGGUGAGGCGCGAAAGCGUGGGGAGCAAACAGGAUUAGAUACCCGCGUAU
rnacentral:rRNA from 1 species